rnacentral:snRNA from 1 species
AGUAUCAUAGCCAGUGAGGUUUAUACAAGGUGUGAUUAUUGCUAAUUGAAAACUUUUUCCAAA